AGAACUGAAACAUCUUAGUACCCGGAGGAAGAGAAAGAAAAUUCGAUUCCCUUAGUAGCGGCGAGCGAAACGGGAAGAGCCCAAACCAACAAGCUUGCUUGUUGGGGUUGUAGGACACUCUAUACGGAGUUACAAAGGACGACAUUAGACGAAUCAUCUGGAAAGAUGAAUCAAAGAAGGUAAUAAUCCUGUAGUCGAAAAUGUUGUCUCUCUUGAGUGGAUCCUGAGUACGACGGAGCACGUGAAAUUCCGUCGGAAUCUGGGAGGACCAUCUCCUAAGGCUAAAUACUCUCUAGUGACCGAUAGUGAACCAGUACCGUGAGGGAAAGGUGAAAAGCACCCCGGAAGGGGAGUGAAAUAGAACCUGAAACCGUGUGCUUACAAGUAGUCAGAGCCCGUUAAUGGGUGAUGGCGUGCCUUUUGUAGAAUGAACCGGCGAGUUACGAUUUGAUGCAAGGUUAAGCAGUAAAUGUGGAGCCGUAGCGAAAGCGAGUCUGAAUAGGGCGUUUAGUAUUUGGUCGUAGACCCGAAACCAGGUGAUCUACCCUUGGUCAGGUUGAAGUUCAGGUAACACUGAAUGGAGGACCGAACCGACUUACGUUGAAAAGUGAGCGGAUGAACUGAGGGUAGCGGAGAAAUUCCAAUCGAACCUGGAGAUAGCUGGUUCUCUCCGAAAUAGCUUUAGGGCUAGCCUCAAGUGAUGAUUAUUGGAGGUAGAGCACUGUUUGGACGAGGGGCCCCUCUCGGGUUACCGAAUUCAGACAAACUCCGAAUGCCAAUUAAUUUAACUUGGGAGUCAGAACAUGGGUGAUAAGGUCCGUGUUCGAAAGGGAAACAGCCCAGACCACCAGCUAAGGUCCCAAAAUAUAUGUUAAGUGGAAAAGGAUGUGGCGUUGCCCAGACAACUAGGAUGUUGGCUUAGAAGCAGCCAUCAUUUAAAGAGUGCGUAAUAGCUCACUAGUCGAGUGACACUGCGCCGAAAAUGUACCGGGGCUAAACAUAUUACCGAAGCUGUGGAUUGUCCUUUGGACAAUGGUAGGAGAGCGUUCUAAGGGCGUUGAAGCAUGAUCGUAAGGACAUGUGGAGCGCUUAGAAGUGAGAAUGCCGGUGUGAGUAGCGAAAGACGGGUGAGAAUCCCGUCCACCGAUUGACUAAGGUUUCCAGAGGAAGGCUCGUCCGCUCUGGGUUAGUCGGGUCCUAAGCUGAGGCCGACAGGCGUAGGCGAUGGAUAACAGGUUGAUAUUCCUGUACCACCUAUAAUCGUUUUAAUCGAUGGGGGGACGCAGUAGGAUAGGCGAAGCGUGCGAUUGGAUUGCACGUCUAAGCAGUAAGGCUGAGUAUUAGGCAAAUCCGGUACUCGUUAAGGCUGAGCUGUGAUGGGGAGAAGACAUUGUGUCUUCGAGUCGUUGAUUUCACACUGCCGAGAAAAGCCUCUAGAUAGAAAAUAGGUGCCCGUACCGCAAACCGACACAGGUAGUCAAGAUGAGAAUUCUAAGGUGAGCGAGCGAACUCUCGUUAAGGAACUCGGCAAAAUGACCCCGUAACUUCGGGAGAAGGGGUGCUCUUUAGGGUUAACGCCCAGAAGAGCCGCAGUGAAUAGGCCCAAGCGACUGUUUAUCAAAAACACAGGUCUCUGCUAAACCGUAAGGUGAUGUAUAGGGGCUGACGCCUGCCCGGUGCUGGAAGGUUAAGAGGAGUGGUUAGCUUCUGCGAAGCUACGAAUCGAAGCCCCAGUAAACGGCGGCCGUAACUAUAACGGUCCUAAGGUAGCGAAAUUCCUUGUCGGGUAAGUUCCGACCCGCACGAAAGGCGUAACGAUUUGGGCACUGUCUCAACGAGAGACUCGGUGAAAUCAUAGUACCUGUGAAGAUGCAGGUUACCCGCGACAGGACGGAAAGACCCCGUGGAGCUUUACUGUAGCCUGAUAUUGAAAUUCGGCACAGCUUGUACAGGAUAGGUAGGAGCCUUUGAAACGUGAGCGCUAGCUUACGUGGAGGCGCUGGUGGGAUACUACCCUAGCUG
rnacentral:rRNA from 1 species